GAUGAACGCUGGCGGCGUGCCUAACACAUGCAAGUCGAACGAAACUUCUUUAUCACCUAGCGCUUGCACUCACCGAUAAAGAGUUGAGUGGCGAACGGGUGAGUAACACCUGGGCAACCUGCCCUAACGAGGGGGAUAAUACUCGGACACAGGUUCUAAUACCGCAUAACCAUCGUUACCUCAUGGUAACUAUGUAUAAGGUGUCUAUACUACCGCUCUUGGCUGGGCACGCGGCGCAUUAGCUAGUUGGUGGGGUAAAGGCUUAAGAAAGCAAGGAGGCGUAGCGGAAUUGAGAGGGUGAUCGGACAGCUUGGCAGUGAGACAGGGCCCAAACUCCGACGGGAGGCAGCAGUAGGGAAUCUUCCACGAGGGGCGAAAGCCUGAUGGAGCAACGCCGCGUGAGUGAAGAAGGUCUUCGGAUCGUAAAGCCCUGUUGUUAGAAAAGAAAGUAAGUGAGUGUAACCGUGCACGUAUUGACGGUACCUAAAGAAAAAGCCACGGCUAACUACGUG
rnacentral:rRNA from 1 species